UGGGGAAUAUUGGACAAUGGGCGAAAGCCUGAUCCAGCCAUGCCGCGUGAGUGAUGAAGGCCCUAGGGUUGUAAAGCUCUUUCGUCAGGGACGAUAAUGACGGUACCUGAAGAAGAAGCCCCGGCUAACUUCGUGCCAGCAGCCGCGGUAAUACGAAGGGGGCUAGCGUUGUUCGGAAUCACUGGGCGUAAAGCGCACGUAGGCGGAUUGUUAAGUCAGGGGUGAAAUGCCAAGGCUCAACCUUGGAACUGCCUUUGAUACUGGCAAUCUCGAGUCCGGGAGAGGUGAGUGGAACUGCGAGUGUAGAGGUGAAAUUCGUAGAUAUUCGCAAGAACACCAGUGGCGAAGGCGGCUCACUGGCCCGGUACUGACGCUGAGGUGCGAAAGCGUGGGGAGCAAACAGGAUUAGAUACCCCGUAGUCC
rnacentral:rRNA from 1 species